rnacentral:rRNA from 1 species
UACGUAGGUGGCAAGCGUUAUCCGGAAUUAUUGGGCGUAAAGCGCGCGUAGGCGGUUUUUUAAGUCUGAUGUGAAAGCCCACGGCUCAACCGUGGAGGGUCAUUGGAAACUGGAAAGCUUGAGUGCAGAAGAGGAAAGUGGAAUUCCAUGUGUAGCGGUGAAAUGCGUAGAGAUAUGGAGGAACACCAGUGGCGAAGGCGGCCUUCUGGUCUGUAACUGACGCUGAGACGCGAAAGCGUGGGGAGCAAACAGG